AUUGAACGCUGGCGGCAGGCUUAACACAUGCAAGUCGAGCGGAGAUGAGGUGCUUGCACCUUAUCUUAGCGGCGGACGGGUGAGUAAUGCUUAGGAAUCUGCCUAUUAGUGGGGGACAACAUUCCGAAAGGAAUGCUAAUACCGCAUACGCCCUACGGGGGAAAGCAGGGGAUCUUCGGACCUUGCGCUAAUAGAUGAGCCUAAGUCAGAUUAGCUAGUUGGUGGGGUAAAGGCCUACCAAGGCGACGAUCUGUAGCGGGUCUGAGAGGAUGAUCCGCCACACUGGGACUGAGACACGGCCCAGACUCCUACGGGAGGCAGCAGUGGGGAAUAUUGGACAAUGGGCGAAAGCCUGAUCCAGCCAUGCCGCGUGUGUGAAGAAGGCCUUUUGGUUGUAAAGCACUUUAAGCGAGGAGGGGGCUACCGAGAUUAAUACUCUAGGAUAGUGGACGUUACUCGCAGAAUAAGCACCGGCUAACUCUGUGCCAGCCGCCGCCGUAAAAC
rnacentral:rRNA from 1 species